rfam:Lactobacillus plantarum WCFS1 complete genome
CAACCAGCAAUGAGCAAGAGAGUAGCGAUAAACAACGUCAACAGAGAGAGCGUGAACAGUGAAACACGCUUGGCGGUUUUAGCGUGAAGGUAGCUUGCGAGCUGCUAUUCUGAACUGUUUUAGUAGGAAUAGCCGGACGGGAUACACCGUUCGUUAACAACGAUGUUUAAGCUGUAAAGCGAUCACUUGUGAUGGCUUUAAAAUUAGGUGGUACCGCGAAGUCCAUUCGUCCUAGUC